GACGAACGCUGGCGGCGUGCCUAAUACAUGCAAGUUGAGCGCUGAAGGUUGGUACUUGUACCGACUGGAUGAGCAGCGAACGGGUGAGUAACGCGUGGGGAAUCUGCCUUUGAGCGGGGGACAACAUUUGGAAACGAAUGCUAAUACCGCAUAAAAACUUUAAACACAAGUUUUAAGUUUGAAAGAUGCAAUUGCAUCACUCAAAGAUGAUCCCGCGCUGUAUUAGCUAGUUGGUGAGGUAAAGGCUCACCAAGGCGAUGAUACAUAGCCGACCUGAGAGGGUGAUCGGCCACAUUGGGACUGAGACACGGCCCAAACUCCUACGGGAGGCAGCAGUAGGGAAUCUUCGGCAAUGGACGAAAGUCUGACCGAGCAACGCCGCGUGAGUGAAGAAGGGUUUCGGAUCGUAAAACUCUGUUGGUAGAGAAGAACGUUGGUGAGAGUGGAAAGCUCAUCAAGUGACGGUAACUACCCAGAAAGGGACGGCUAACUACGUG
rnacentral:rRNA from 1 species